CCACACGACUUCUUCAAAUAGUUGUAGUCUUGAAAUCACAUCAACCUAUGAAAUAUUUUCCUAGUUUACUUUGUAAACUGACAAAAGAUUUUUUUUCAUUAAGCUUUGAUUGUUCACCAUUCCUAAUGGCGUUCUUGUGCAGUGGAUGUGAACAUUAUUUAUGCAGUGGACGUUCUAUGUAAAUAAUGGCAUGAAUAGUUGACCCAUAACCGAAAGUUUCACGAUUAUGCAACUUGAAAAUGCAAGAGUUAUUACCUGCUCUAGCACAGAGUUGAUCAGAUGGAGUUGUUUUACAGGUACUGAAGACAAAGCCCAGUGGAUAUUAGACUAGAAUUUUGGAGUCCGGAUCUGCAGAAGUGUCAGAAGUGUAUAAGUUUGUCACCUCCUCAGCAACACAUAUAGAUAGGGCUCACAUUAGUCAUAUUAUGUAUUUUGUGUAUUACAAUUAUUUCAUAUGUUGUAAUGCAAUCGAAGAAAUUGUAUUUAAUAUGUAUAGGAUGUAAAUUAAUAGAUUAGCUCUUUCAUCUGAAAUUA